rnacentral:rRNA from 1 species
GACGGGUGGGUAACGCGUGGGAACGUACCUUUUGGUUCGGAACAACACAGGGAAACUUGUGCUAAUACCGGAUAAGCCCUUACGGGGAAAGAUUUAUCGCCGAAAGAUCGGCCCGCGUCUGAUUAGCUAGUUGGUGAGGUAAUGGCUCACCAAGGCGACGAUCAGUAGCUGGUCUGAGAGGAUGAUCAGCCACAUUGGGACUGAGACACGGCCCAAACUCAUACGGGAGGCAGCAGUGGGGAAUAUUGGACAAUGGGCGCAAGCCUGAUCCAGCCAUGCCGCGUGAGUGAUGAAGGCCCUAGGGUUGUAAAGCUCUUUUGUGCGGGAAGAUAAUGACGGUACCGCAAGAAUAAGCCCCGGCUAACUUCGUGCCAGCAGCCGCGGUAAUACGAAGGGGGCUAGCGUUGCUCGGAAUCACUGGGCGUAAAGGGUGCGUAGGCGGGUCUUUAAGUCAGGGGUGAAAUCCUGGAGCUCAACUCCAGAACUGCCUUUGAUACUGAAGAUCUUGAGUUCGGGAGAGGUGAGUGGAACUGCGAGUGUAGAGGUGAAAUUCGUAGAUAUUCGCAAGAACACCAGUGGCGAAGGCGGCUCACUGGCCCGAUACUGACGCUGAGGCACGAAAGCGUGGGGAGCAAACAGGAUUAGAUACC